rnacentral:rRNA from 1 species
GAUGAACGCUGGCGGCGUGCCUAAUACAUGCAAGUCGAGCGAACGGACGAGAAGCUUGCUUCUCUGAUGUUAGCGGCGGACGGGUGAGUAACACGUGGAUAACCUACCUAUAAGACUGGGAUAACUUCGGGAAACCGGAGCUAAUACCGGAUAAUAUUUUGAACCGCAUGGUUCAAAAGUGAAAGACGGUCUUGCUGUCACUUAUAGAUGGAUCCGCGCUGCAUUAGCUAGUUGGUAAGGUAACGGCUUACCAAGGCAACGAUGCAUAGCCGACCUGAGAGGGUGAUCGGCCACACUGGAACUGAGACACGGUCCACUCCUACGGGAGGCAGCAGUAGGGAAUCUUCCGCAAUGGGCGAAAGCCUGACGGAGCAACGCCGCGUGAGUGAUGAAGGUCUUCGGAUCGUAAAACUCUGUUAUUAGGGAAGAACAUAUGUGUAAGUAACUGUGCACAUCUUGACGGUACCUAAUCAGAAAGCCACGGCUAACUACGUG